rnacentral:rRNA from 1 species
CACGGGUGAGUAACGCGUAUGCAACUUGCCUAUCAGAGGGGGAUAGCCCGGCGAAAGUCGGACUAAUACCGCAUGAAGCAGGGGCCCCGCAUGGGGAUAUUUGCUAAAGAUUCAUCGCUGAUAGAUAGGCAUGCGUUCCAUUAGGCAGUUGGCGGGGUAACGGCCCACCAAACCGACGAUGGAUAGGGGUUCUGAGAGGAAGGUCCCCCACAUUGGUACUGAGACACGGACCAA